ACUGAACAGAGGGGGCCGGUGAGAAAGGAAGCUGUAAGCACGACUGGCUGCGUGGAGCGCGGGCCCACCUGAGCCCUGCAGGUUUUGGUUUCUUGGCCACGAGGCAAGUGGGAUCCUAGCUCCUGGACCAGGGAUCGAACCCGCACCCCCUGCAUUGGAAGGUGAAGUCUCAACCCCUGGACCACCAGGGAAGAUCAUGUGCCAGACAAGGAAAUGAAAG